UGGCGGUUGCUAGCGGGGAAGAGGGGUGUCAUUUGGAGGAUGAGGAUAAGGAAGGCGGCUAUCGCUGGAAAAACAUGUGGGGCUUUCAUGGAAACUACGGAGAAUUUGGGAUUUGUCUACAUUGCUUCGAGACAUUAUGCACAUAAUAUCAAGUGCAUAAUUAAUGGAAACGGAAGACAUUGAAAGAUCUUGUUUUAGCUGCAGAGGGUAGAGUAUCUGUAAUUAUAGACAGUGAAUGUGAUUUGGAAAAUAUUACUACUGAUGCUGAGUUGCAGGAAAGAAAGUGCUUGUU